rnacentral:rRNA from 1 species
GAUGCUUUAGUGCCUUCGGGAACUCUGAGACAGGUGCUGCAUGGCUGUCGUCAGCUCGUGUUGUGAAAUGUUGGGUUAAGUCCCGNAACGAGCGCAACCCUUAUCCUUUGUUGCCAGCACGUAAUGGUGGGAAACUCAAAGGAGACUGCCGGUGAUAAACCGGAGGAAGGUGGGGAUGACGUCAAGUCAUCAUGGCCCUUACGAGUAGGGCUACACACGUGCUACAAUGGCGCAUACAAAGAGAAGCGACCUCGCGAGAGCAAGCGGACCUCAUAAAGUGCGUCGUAGUCCGGAUUGGAGUCUGCAACUCGACUCCAUGAAGUCGGAAUCGCUAGUAAUCGUAAAUCAGAAUGUUACGGUGAAUACGUUCCCGGGCCUUGUACACACCGCCCGUCACACCAUGGGAGUGGGUUGCAAAAGAAGUAGAUAGCUUAACCUUCGGGAGGGCGUUUACCACUUUGUGAUUCAUGACUGGGGUGAAGUCGUAACAAGGUAGGCGUAGUGCU